CACUCCUACGGGAGGCAGCAGUGGGGAAUUUUGGACAAUGGGGGCAACCCUGAUCCAGCAAUGCCGCGUGAGUGAAGAAGGCCUUCGGGUUGUAAAGCUCUUUUGUCAGGGAAGAAACGGUGGUGGCGAAUAACUACUACUAAUGACGGUACCUGAAGAAUAAGCACCGGCUAACUACGUGCCAGCAGCCGCGGUAAUACGUAGGGUGCAAGCGUUAAUCGGAAUUACUGGGCGUAAAGCGUGCGCAGGCGGUUGUGUAAGUCAGAUGUGAAAUCCCCGGGCUCAACCUGGGAAUUGCAUUUGAGACUGCACGGCUAGAGUGUGUCAGAGGGGGGUAGAAUUCCACGUGUAGCAGUGAAAUGCGUAGAUAUGUGGAGGAAUACCGAUGGCGAAGGCAGCCCCCUGGGAUAACACUGACGCUCAUGCACGAAAGCGUGGGGAGCAAACAGGAUUAGAUACCCCAGUAGUCC
rnacentral:rRNA from 1 species